UGCUGGAGGAUCCUUGGAUGAAGUAAUCCUGUAUUAUCAUGACUUCUUAAUGAAUUACAUGAAAUAUUCAAUAGUGAAAUAUUUUCAGCAGAGAGCACUGGAAAUUUGGAAGAAAGCAACUGAGAAAGCAAACUUUACAAUGCAUUUAAAAAGAAACAACUGUUCUUUUGCUAAUCUUCAUUUUAAUCUUUUUUAAAGAUGUGAAGAUGAAAGUGGAGAGUGAUUAAGGCUCGGGGCAUGAACACUUAUUGACUGCAGGCUUUGACUAUAUGCUUUAUCUAUCUCCAUUACACCCUCAAAGUAUCUUGUGAGGGGGGCAUGGUGUUUAUUCCCAUUUUACAGGAAAUGGAUGCUUAAGAGAGAUCACAGACUUACCUCUACGUAUACCAGAGAAGGAAAAAUGAAACCAGAGGAACUAUCUUGUCAUUCAGCCAUCAAAUACCGAGCCUGGCUUCAAACUCAACUCUCACUCCAAAACAUGUGUUGAUUUCAAAACAACAUGUCACAAUAGUAAAAAAGUAAGAGCCAUUAUCACUCUUAUUACUACCAUUGUGACUGCCUCCACUCAUUGAUGCUUCCUGUGCCAUACACCAUGAUGGCUAUUUUUGAGGUACUAUCUAAUUUAGUCAUUGUUAAGAAUCUAGUGAGUCAAACAUUGUUAUUGUUUCAGACAAAUAAUCCCUGAAAAGUUAAGUAAUUUGUCCAAGAACCAACAGCUAACAAGUGAUGACCUCAAAGCCAGGUCUAAGUACAAAGUGUUUGUACUUCUAUCAAGGUAGGGAAAAUGCAUUGGAGAUGUGAAAGUUUACCUGGUUAUCUGACAGAAUGAGAAGUCUAUGAGGUAACUGGGCAACCAGAAUUCCCAACAAUUUUUCCAAGUAGUUUUGCUUUGCUUAAUUGCCUCCGAUCCUGGUUUUGGGGGUAUGAUAUUUGGCUAAAUCUAUGUAAACUGAGAAAAGCACUCGGUGACCCUAAAAAGAAUCUUCUGUUCACUGACUUAUUGUGUUUUAAAUCAUCUCACCUAUAAUAUAUGUAAAGUAUAGUACAUCUGAUUGAUAAUUUUUAGACAGUAAUGAAUUGGCUACUCCUGCUUCUAACAACUUGGUUAUCCAUGCAUUAAUCCACUGUUUAUGCCACAUAGUUGUUUUUUUUAAGAUAGGAUUUACUGCAUAAAUCCUAUCUUAAAGCUAUGUGAAAUACUGGUUAGAAUUCAUGGUAAAGAUAAACAAGAAACUUUAUGAAAAGUAUAGAAGAUUUUAAACAAACAUACUCUGAUUUUAUACUGAUUUAUAUACUCUGAUUUUAGACUAUCUUUCCAGGGUUUAUAGUAAGCUAUUAAAUACUGGAAAUCCUCUUCAUGGUCAUGUUUUGGGGGCAGGUAUAAGAAGAUACAUCAAGUGACUUUAAACUUCAAAUAAUUUUAAUCAAUGUAUUUUGUCAUUCUCAAUAUCCUGUUUUGAUGUUUCACCCAUUUUUUGUGUGUGUCAUACUCCUCAUACUCCUGUCUUUUUCAAGUUCUUUUUUUUUAGUUCGAUAGAGGACUAUGUUACCAUUUGGCAUAUGUCUCCCUUGUCAGUGACAUCUUGAAAAUUAAAAAAAAUAAUACCUCCCUUGCCUGCAUCCACUCAGGUUGGCUGCCUGUAACUGCCCCAUGCUUCAAAAUAUGUCAUCUUAUUAAAUUCUGCAAACUGUUCUGAACAUUGUCUCUAUAAAUGUUUUGGAAGGGCUUUACUGUCAGGUCAGCUUUCUAAGGGCUAGAAAUAUGUCAAACCUGGCAGCCUUACCUUUAUUUAAGAGCCAAAAUACAAAUAAGUAGAUUACAAAGCAAUCAAUCAAUACAGCGUUGCAGGAUGUUACGGUUGGCAUUGACCUCGAAGUUCGGCACCCUCAUUUUACAGAUGAGUAAGCUCAUCCGUAACUCUGUAGGAGAUGGGGUUUUGCCUUGACUCCGUUAUAGCUGGCUGGGUCACCUUGGACAUGCUGCUGUGCCUCAGUUUACCCACGUGAAUGAGAGAUGCUUUCCCUUUCUUAGAUAAUUCCCAGGCAUUUAACCACGUCAAGUCUCUAGGUGCCAUGAGAAAGGUGAUACAUUUGAUGCAUUUCUGACUUCACACAGAACAUUCCCCUUAUAUUUUAUGGGAUC